rnacentral:rRNA from 1 species
AUUGAACGCUGGCGGCCGGCCUAACACAUGCAAGUCGAACGAGUUGCGGACGGGUUAGUAAUGUCUGGGAAACUGCCUGAGGGGGGGGGAUAACUACCCGAAAGAGUGGCUAAUACCGCAUACUAAUGGAGCGGCCGAUAUCGGAUUAGCUAGUUGGUGGGGUAAAGGCUCACCAAGGCAACGAUCCGUAGCUGGUUUGAGAGGUCGACCAGCCACACUGGGACUGAGAGACGGCCCAGACACCUACGGGAGGCAGCAGUGGGGAAUGUUGGACAAUGGGGGAAACCCUGAUCCAGCCAUCCCGCGUGUAUGAGAAGGCCUUCGGGUUGUAAAGUACUUUUGGCAGAGAAGCGGUAUCUGCAGAAUAAGCACCGGCUAACUACGUGCCAGCAGCCGCGGUAAUAC